GCAGUCCAGCCAGAGAUGUUUUUUUCACAAAAGUAUGAUGACAAGUACUGAGCUAUGGAUUCAAUUCACCUCACCAACAUCCCCAUUUCCAAGCAAGAACCAGCAAGAUCUAGUGAAUAUCAAGCUCCUUCAUCUGAUGGCACAGACUAGUAAAGAGAAAAGCUACCACACCAUCGUCCUCCUGGUAAUCAAGCCAAAAUCAGUUCACGUGCUGAGGGUUGCAACUCCAACACCACUAACAAGAUUUCACUGUGAUCAGCCGACUGCAGCAAAAACUAACUGGAGAAAAUGAUGAAGGAAUCUACAAUGUCUUUGCAAGGACAGGCAAUCUUAGAAUACAAGCACCUCAACAGGAAAACCACUGGUAAUUGAAGCUGGAAGAGUGCCGUGACAUCUCUUCAGAAACAAGCUGGUUUAUGGACAGGGAUCACAUCAACCAAGUUCAAAUGUCUUGAACACGAUAGGGCCCCUUCCGUUCUGACUGGAAAAGAGAUCUAUCAUCUAUGGUUUGUGCAUGAUCAUUGGGGUAUCCACAGUUUCUUUGCUGGGAUAAAUGGAAAGCAGUGGAAUUCAACAAUGGUGCGACAGCAUUUCCUGUCCUUGCCAAGGACCUAAAUAUUUGAUGACAUCAUUCCGUCAUAUAUUGCAAUGUCCACAAUCAUUUUAUUGUCAUCUUUUAGUGGCUGUUGUUAAUUGAAUGUUUAAGAUUGAAUAGUAGAGCUCAUUAAGGGCAUACAAAGGUUUUGAUGCCUUGCUGGCAUA